AAUGAACGUUGGCGGCGUGGAUUAGGCAUGCAAGUCGAGCGAGAACCCAGCAAUGGGGGACAGCGGCGAAAGGGACAGUAAUGUGUAGAUCAUCUGCCCUCAGGUCCGGGAUAGCUGCGGGAAACUGCAGGUAAUACCGGAUAACAUCUCCGGAUCAAAGGUGUGAUUCCGCCUGAGGAUGAGUCUACAUCCCAUUAGCUAGUUGGUGGGGUAAUGGCCUACCAAGGCGAUGAUGGGUAGCGGGUGUGAGAGCACGACCCGCGUCAUUGGGACUGAGCAACUGCCCAGACACCUACGGGUGGCUGCAGUCGAGAAUCUUCGGCAAUGGGCGCAAGCCUGACCGAGCGACGCCGCGUGCGGGAUGAAGGCCUUCGGGUUGUAAACCGCUGUCAGAGGGGAUGAAAUGCAGGUGGGUUCUCCCAUCUGUUUGACAUAGCCUCAGAGGAAGGACGGGCUAAGUUCGUGCCAGCAGCCGCCGUAAAAC
rnacentral:rRNA from 1 species